AUACAUGAGCAAAAAUCUCAACUUUAUUAGAAGAGACGCAUUUAUUAGAUAAAAAGCCAAUGCAUGCUUUUACAGUAUGAAAAUUGGUGAUUUAUAAUAACUUAGCAAAUCGCAAAGUGAAAACAGGCGAUAAAUCAUUCAAGUUUCUGACCUAUCAGCUUUCGACGGUAUGGUAUUGGCUUACCGUGGCAGUGACGGUUAACGGGGGAUUAGGGUUCGAUUCCGGAGAGGGAGCCUGAGAAACGGCUACCACAUCUAAGGAAGGCAGCAGGCGCGCAAAUUACCCAAUUCUAACAGUUUGAGAGAGGUAGUAACAAGAAAUAACAAUACAAGGCAGUUAAAAUGCUUUGUAAUUGGAAUGAUAGAAAUUUAAACCCUUUUUAAAGUAUCAAUUGGAGGGCAAGUCUGGUGCCAGCAGCCGCGGUAAUUCCAGCUCCAAUAGCGUAUAUUAAAAUUGUUGCAGUUAAAAAGCUCGUAGUUGAAGUUCUGCUAAAAGUAACCGGUCUGCUUUGAAUAAAAGUGGUAUCUUGGUAUGUAUUUAGCAAUGAUGUCCUUUGAAGUGUUUUUUACUUUAUUGUAAUAAAGCAUAUUCAGGACUUUUACUUUGAGAAAAUUAGAGUGUUUCUAGCAGGCCAACGCUUUGAAUACUGCAGCAUGGAAUAAUAAGA
rnacentral:rRNA from 1 species